GCGAGAUCAACAUGCGAUUGUGAUCCUGGAUUCCUCUUUGCAAAACUCUCAAGAUCUUUGGCAAAUUACGGUGUCAGCAACAAUAAUAAAGGAAACUCAGCAGCAGAUGAAGUGGUAAAGGAACAUAGAUAUACGAGGGCCUGCCCUCCAUUGACAGUGGAUGGAACAUCACAAAAACUGCCUUGUCCAGUCAACUUUGUAUACUGUUCUGAAAUUAAGUAUUGCGUGGAAGAA